CCAGACUCCUACGGGAGGCAGCAGUGGGGAAUAUUGCACAAUGGGGGAAACCCUGAUGCAGCGACGCCGCGUGAAGGACGAAGUAUUUCGGUACGUAAACUUCUAUCAGCAGGGAAGAAAAUGACGGUACCUGACCAAGAAGCCCCGGCUAACUACGUGCCAGCAGCCGCGGUAAUACGUAGGGGGCAAGCGUUAUCCGGAUUUACUGGGUGUAAAGGGAGCGUAGACGGCCAUGCAAGUCUGAUGUGAAAACCCGGGGCUCAACCCCGGGACUGCAUUGGAAACUGUGCGGCUGGAGUGUCGGAGAGGCAAGUGGAAUUCCUAGUGUAGCGGUGAAAUGCGUAGAUAUUAGGAGGAACACCAGUGGCGAAGGCGGCUUACUGGACUGUAACUGACGUUGAGGCUCGAAAGCGUGGGGAGCAAACAGGAUUAGAUACCCUUGUA
rnacentral:rRNA from 1 species